AUUGAACGCUGGCGGCAUGCCUUACACAUGCAGGUCGAACGGCAGCGGGGGAGAAGCUUGCUUUUCCUGCCGGCGAGUGGCGAACGGGUGAGUAAUACAUCGGAACGUGCCCUGUAGUGGGGGAUAACUAGUCGAAAGAUUAGCUAAUACCGCAUACGACCUGAGGGUGAAAGUGGGGGACCGCAAGGCCUCAUGCUAUAGGAGCGGCCGAUGUCUGAUUAGCUAGUUGGUGGGGUAAAGGCCUACCAAGGCGACGAUCAGUAGCUGGUCUGGGAGGCCGAUCAGCCGCACUGGGACUGGGACGCGGCCCAGACUCCUACGGGAGGCAGCAGUGGGGAAUUUUGGACAAUGGGCGAAAGCCUGAUCCAGCAAUGCCGCGUGUGUGAAGAAGGCCUUCGGGUUGUAAAGCACUUUUGUCCGGAAAGAAAUGGCUCUGGUUAAUACCUGGGGUCGAUGACGGUACCGGAAGAAUAAGGACCGGCUAACUACGUGCCAGCCGCCGCAGUAA
rnacentral:rRNA from 1 species